rnacentral:rRNA from 1 species
GGUUUUUUGAUUAUAAUAAAAAAUCUAAUCUGCUCAAUGAUUUAAAAUUAAAUAGCUGCAGUAUUUUAACUGUACUAAGGUAGCAUAAUCAUUUGUCUUUUUAUUAAAGUCUGGAAUGAAUGAUUUAAUGAAAAAAUUUCUGUCUCAAAUUAAUAUAUAAAAUUUUAUUUUAAGUUAAAAUUCUUAAAAUUUAUUUAAAGACGAGAAGACCCUAUAGAAUUUUAUAAAAUUUUUUAUUUUAUUUUUAUUUAUUAUUUUAAAUUAAUAAAAAUUUUAUUUUAUUGGGGUAAUAAAAAAAUUUAAUUAAAUUUUUUAAUAAAUUUUCAUAAAUUUAUGUUAAAAUUUUUAUAUCCAAAUAUUUUUGAAUUUAAAAUUAAUUACCUUAGGGAUAACAGCGUAAUUUUUUUAGAAAGUUCAUAUUGAUAAAAAAGUUUGCGACCUCGAUGUUGAAUUAAGAUAAAAUUUUAAUGUAGAAAUUAAAAAUUUUAAGUCU